rnacentral:rRNA from 1 species
UACGGGGGGGGCAAGCGUUGUUCGGAAUUACUGGGCGUAAAGGGCUCGUAGGCGGCCGCUUAAGUCAGACGUGAAAUCCCUCGGCUCAACCGGGGCACUGCGUCUGAGACUGAAUGGCUUGAAUCCGGGAGAGGGAUGCGGAAUUCCUGGUGUAGCGGUGAAAUGCGUAGAUAUCAGGAAGAACACCGGUGGCGAAAGCGCUCUGCUAGGCCGCAACUGACACUGAGGGACGAAAGCUAGGGGAGCGAAUGGG